CAGUAGCCACGGGAAUGCGAGGGGGGCAAGCGUUGUUCGGAAUUAUUGGGCGUAAAGGGCGCGUAGGCGGCUUUGCAAGUCUUGUGUGAAAUCUCUGGGCUCAACCCAGGGGCUGCACGGGAAACUGCAGGGCUUGAGUAUGGGAGAGGUGAGUGGAAUUUCCGGUGUAGCGGUGAAAUGCGUAGAUAUCGGAAGGAACACCUGUGGCGAAAGCGGCUCACUGGACCAUAACUGACGCUGAGGCGCGAAAGCUAGGGGAGCAAACAGGAUUAGAUACCCCAGUAGUCCCUGUCUCUUAUAC
rnacentral:rRNA from 1 species